CCUACGGGCGGCUGCAGUGAGGAAUAUUGGUCAAUGGGCGCAAGCCUGAACCAGCCAUGCCGCGUGCAGGAAGACGGCCCUACGGGUUGUAAACUGCUUUUCCGGGGGAAGAAUAAGGCCCACGUGUGGGCCGAUGCCGGUACCCCGGGAAUAAGGAUCGGCUAACUCCGUGCCAGCAGCCGCGGUAAUACGGAGGAUCCGAGCGUUAUCCGGAUUUACUGGGUUUAAAGGGUGCGUAGGCGGGCGCUUAAGUCAGCGGUGAAAUGCGGGGGCUCAACCUUCGAACGGCCGUUGAUACUGGGCGCCUUGGAUUCGGUCGAGGCGGGCGGAAUGCGACAUGUAGCGGUGAAAUGCUUAGAUAUGUCGCAGAACGCCGAUUGCGAAGGCAGCUCGCCGGGCCGAUAUUGACGCUGAGGCACGAAAGCGUGGGGAUCGAACAGGAUUAGAUACCCCGGUAGUC
rnacentral:rRNA from 1 species